UUUUUCCCCCACUGAAAUGCGGUAAGGCUCAAAGCAUUGUAAUCUCUCCAGCGAAGCUUUCUGUGGGAAUAGAUUCGUCGGCAGAGGAAAGAGGUGGGUAUCAUGUUGAAAGACACUGGCACACAGGGGAAUCUGCCCUUCGGUGGAGGUGACAUAGCCACAGAGUCUCUAAAGAGAGGACAUUCCUGUAGGAAAGUGAGGAUUUCAGUAGGGGAGGAAUGUCCUAAAAGCCAAGCUGUGUUACAGAGACAACAUCCCUGGCCACGAGAACCUUUGCUGGGAUCUAUAACUUCAAUGCGCUCCAAGUUUCCUCGAUAGAAGUUUCUGGCUGACGGUCCCAACAUGUAACUGAGGCACAGUGAGAAGUUAUUGUUCGGAGUGUGUACUCGGGAAGCUCUCUUCCAGAGCAGAUUAAAAUCUUUCUUUUGGUGUAUUAAAAGAUAGACUUCACAUCUGCCUCUUUUCAAAACGGCAAAGAUUCUUACUUUUGAGUCUCAAGGAAAAAAAAAGAUUUUUUUUUUAAAAAAAGGACUGGCACAUCGCCCUGUUUUAAAAAAAAAAAUGGGGGAAGUAAUUUAAUGCUGAUAUUUCUACUUUAAAAACUUCUUUUGUGCAGCAGUGGAUGUGCCCGCGAUUUCCAGCUUUCUGCGGUUAGCAAUAUUAUCUUAAGUAACUUUUGGCGCCCUUCGUAAGACUUUUGGAUAUGGGACGAUUGUUUGCGCCCUCUAGGCAAGGGCUGGAUCCAAGUUCAGCACCAAAGCCCUUCACAUCCGCUCCUGCUUUCUCUCCUAUCUCCGCCAGCUCCCGCUCUCUCCCCCGCGGAGGGACGGGGGGAGGCGGGGGAAACACUACAAAGCACAGUUCCAACUACAGCCUUUGGAAACAAGACUGAGAAAAAUACAGUAGAAGAGUUACAGUUACAGAAAGGCUUCUGGUAACUUUCUCUCCAACAGGCAUAAAUUUAAACACACGCACAAAGAAACAGAUGUUCCUCAAAGGGCAGACUGGGGGUAAAAAACAUUUCCAACCCUCUCCCCUCUUCCCAAGUUGCAAAAGUAAAUCCUUGUCCAGAGUUCACAAAGAUACUAAGGCACUUGAGAGAGAGCAGGGAUGGAGGAGGGAAGAAAGGAUAGUAGAGAGAGCAGUGGAGGAAACGCAGGUGAAGUAUGGAAACUAGUUUACUGCAAUCAUAUAAAUGACCCCAUUGUUAGGAAGGAUAAACCCCUUAUUGGAAAUAACCACUCCAAUCAUUUAUUUUGCAAGUGGUAGGAGGCUGCCUUGAAAUGGGAUUGUCUCUGCGCAAAGGAGGCUCCUGUCAUGCUCUCUGCUAUCCAUAUUCUUCCUGGCACAGAGCCCAGCCUUGCAUUUACUGUGUUUUAUUUGCAGAAACGUUACCUUGCCAGCUUUAGUGAAAUCCUCUUAGAUAUAUAAAUUACGUCAAUAAGGUUUCACUUAUAUGUACAUCUCAAAUAGCUCUCAUUUUGGAGGUUACUUAAUAGGGAGAUCUUAUUAAUAUGAUUUAGAUUUUAAUACCCAAAGCAGUGAAGAUAGAACUGGGAUUCAUAAGUGACAACACCAUAACUCUGUAGUUCUUACCAACACUAACUUUAUUAACUGGCAUUUUUCAACAUUUUUUCUUCUCUGGUUUUUGACCUGCUGGUCACUUCUGUGCAGAUUUUUCUUAUGUGCAUAUAAUCCUAAAUUGAAUCAUGUUGCUGAAGUGAGUGUCCAAGUGAAUUCUUACAUCAAAUUUCCAAGCCAGAUUUGACUGGAAGGCCUAAAGCCUUGGGAAAUAGCUCGAUGGGAAUUUAAUCCAAAGAAGGGAAAGAGCCCAUAUUAUUUUCCAUUCACUUCCCAACAGAAUUAGGUGUCUACACUGCUCAGAGAGGAGAUGGAGAUAUUUUAGUCAGAGGCUGCCAGUUACUGUCUCCAAGACAAGCUACUGCAGUUGGUUUCCACUGGAUUUGUAUCAAGCACUUGUCCAAGAGGCCAGACUCCAACUAACAGCAAGUCAGCGAUCUUCCAUACUCACACCCUCCAUGGGGGUUGUUGUAGUAACAAGAAGAAAUGUGAACUUGGCCAGUCUUAAUGUCCUAUUUCCUACUGACCAUAUACUUAAAAAGCAGAAUUCAAGAACAGCCAAGAAAAAACACUCCCCUCAUUUCAAGUAUGUAAGACAGCUGCUAGUUCACAUGUGAAACAUUUUCUCCUUUAAAACAGUUGUUUAGAGUUCAAGAAGAGAGGUUUACUUAUUAAUUUCAAAGUACUUGAAAUGCCAAAGCUGCUAAGAUAAUCAGAGUAAGAAGUUUUGUAAUGCUGAAUACGCAAUAUGUUAACUUCCCAAAGCUCACUACAGUCCCACAAUUCAGGCAAGAUUUAAGCUACACGUUUCUUAAAGUUGAACUUCACAUUCCACAAGUUACCAACUUCCCUGAGUUUAAAAAUAAUAGCUAAUGCAAAGUUAAUAUCUAAUGCAAAGUUAUUUCUCUAGCAGAAUGUUUCUUUUUCCAAAAGACAAGGAAGAAGGCACACGAUUCAUGCAAACUCCCCCGAUCAGUUUUUUUUUUUUUCUCUUAAACGCGAAAACUCUUUCCUAUUGUACUUGCUAAAUCCGGAAGCGCUUGUAGCUUUGACAGCUUGAACCACACCAUCCCCUUCAGAGCUGCAGAGAACUUCAGAUCUCCUCUGCCCCGCCCCCUCUGGCUAUUGAGAACUAUUGUACACCCAAGCUUUCUUAUGAUUGGAUAAAGCUUUUGUCAAUCUCCCA